rnacentral:ncRNA from 1 species
GGGCCUUUAGAAGGGAUAGAAGGUUAAUACUCCCUUGAUAAGGGUGGGAAAAAGUCAUGUACUCAUAUACAGUUAAGGCAUUGCCACUUUGCCUGUGCUGUACUUUCAU